rnacentral:rRNA from 1 species
AACCAAGAUGGUUAAGUUAUAUUUAUUACGGUAAAAAGACAGUUAAAUAUUUAUAGAAAAGUUUAUUUAAUAUCUAUAGAAAGGUAGAAUUUGCAUAUAGAUAUGUAAUUUAGGUAUAACUUAUGGAUUGAAGCUGUGAUAGCCUUGAGGGAAACUGGGAUUAGAUACCCCACUAUUCUUGGCUGUAAAUAGAUAAAGAUUUACUAGAGUACUAUGAAUUCUAAAAUUUAAAACUCAAAGGGCUUGGCGGUGUUUUAGACCCUUCAGGGGAACCUGUCUCAUAAUCGACAAUCCACGUUACACCUAACCUUCUUUUGUCUUCAGUAUGUAUACCGUCGUCGUCAGGUAACUUUUAAAAAGCAAGAAGUUAGCAAAAAAACUCUAUUAGUUUCAACGUCAGAUCAAGGUGCAGCCUAUAAAAAGGUGAGGAUGGGUUACAGUUAUAAAAUCAUAAUUACGGAAUAAUCAACUGAAAGAGUGAUUAUGAAGGAGGACUUGAAAGUAAAUUAUUUUACAUAAAUAUUUUGAAUAAGGCUCUGAAACGUGU